rnacentral:lncRNA from 1 species
GAUGUUGAUUGAUUGUGUUCAUUAUUUAAUUUUAUUUUUCGUGGCUUAGUUGCUUCUAACACUUCUCUGAAAUUCUUCGUGCUCGAUUUAGAUAAAUAAAUUUGGAGCAUAAGGUUGAAUUCGGGAUAAGAAAAGGAUCACAAUGGUGGUGGUCUCGUGUUCUGAAUUUAUGAAACGAUGAAACUCCGGUGAGAGACCACCGGAGAAGAUGACCGGAGUGUUCCAGGUUGUAUGAGUUUGGCCAGACACGUUGGACAAUGAAAUGUUUACAUUGGUUAAUUUUGAAUUGGAUCUCGUGUGUUGUUUGUAUUGCAUUCCAUCAUGCGCCCUAACUUGAGGAGUGUUAGAUUUGCCACGUCAGUUAAUGAUGCAUGAUCCAACACUCAUGUUUUUUUUAAUUCUUUUUCUUUUAUUAUUUUUAAUUUCUUUUUCUUUUAAAAUUCAUAGUAAUUCCAUUUUUCAUCCAAAAAAUCCCAAA